rnacentral:rRNA from 1 species
UACGUAGGGACCGAGCGUUGUCCGGAAUCACUGGGCGUAAAGGGUGCGUAGGCGGGUCUUUAAGUCAGGGGUGAAAUCCUGGAGCUCAACUCCAGAACUGCCUUUGAUAGUGAGGAUCUUGAGUUCGGGAGAGGUGAGUGGAACUGCGAGUGUAGAGGCGAAAUUCGUAGAUAUUCGCAGGAACACCAGUGGCGAAGGCGGCUCACUGGCCCGAUACUGACGCUGAGGCACGAAAGCGUGGGGAGCAAACAGG